CGGCGUUUCAUAACAACGUAAUUCGCGUAAUCAUCGAGCGAAACUACUUUCCGAAAUACUUUCAAUGGAUGAGGUGAACGUAGGCUGAAUCUUAUUGCGUAUAUAAUGUGCUCUUUUUUUUGUAAUGUUAUUCUGUGCUUUUUGAAACGUGAGUGUUGUGUGCUCUAUGAAUAAUUAAUGACUAAAGCUAUUAUUAGUUCUCACGAACAAUGAUCAGGAAGAAUCGAGGUUAUGGCGACUCGAGAUUAUGGUUUUUUCGAAGCAGGUUCGUACAAUGAUUGCGAUGAAGACAAGAGAGAAAGAGGAGAAGAGAGAGAAACUUGAUAUAUUAAUAACAAGUAACCUACUUCGCAAAGAACAAAAUCAGGGUCCCACAAUUAUAUGAGACUGCAAAUCGCUGAUGCAAAUUGCGGCAAGGAUGAGUCAGUUACCUUGAAUAUUUAUCUCACGUAUCUUCUCGAUAUACAAAAGGAUUUUCGUGUCGCAUUGCAUCUUCUCAAAUAUGAGAAUGAAAAAUGGAAAGAGAGAAAAGAACUAAUUUAGAGAAGAUACAAACAUGUUGCAUCGCCCUUAAAUCUUGCCUUAAUUACUAAAAAAAAAAUGCAGAUUUAAUAGAAAUUACGCUGCAUUUUAGAUAAGCUGAUUUACGUGACGAACGGAUAGAAUACCGAAGAAUUAAAUAUCCGUUGUAUAACCUACAUGCUUCUUUACGGAACGGUCUAAUAAGGAAUCUGUAAUCCAUGAGAUCAAUGAUCGGAAACCGCGAAAUCUCGAUGGAUCAACGACCAUUGCAGAGCGUGCGAGUAAGUCAAUUGAUCGAAGGUGCGGAUUCCCUGGAUUGAAUGGAACGUAACCGAUCGCGCGUGAAGGGACGAAACGCGAAACACGUCCGAUUUCUUCCAUCUCUUUCUUACUCUGGACGGUUUCACGCCAUUCUAAGCACCGACCAUGCAUAGUUAAGCCAGUAAUUCGGCCGUAACGAAAACGAAUUUUACUAGGGGAAUGGCGGUGCCCCACGUCCGAUACCGCUCUUGUAACUAGCGAAAUUUGCAUGAUCGUGAAUCGCACAAUAAUCUUUUAUCGACGGAUAUAAAACUAGCAGUAGAAUGACGUGUAGGUAUAAAUUUCAUGAAUCGAUACCAUGAAACUGGAACGAUUCUGUGACGCAAACGGUAGAGAAAAGAUCCUAUAUUUGAAUAUGUAAUUUGUAACUUGUGUACGUAACAUGUGUUCUGUUUUCAACCAUGUCUAUAGUUGUUCCAGUUGCAAAGCAUCGAAGCGUAGAUACCAUAAUAAUUCGAACUAACUGAACAUCUAAGAUUCAGAAUCGAUAACUAUAAAUGUAUUACUUUUAGGUUUAGAUGAAACAGAAAUUAAAAUGCGUUAAAAAUU